AUGGAAACUGUUGGAUGGUCCUAUGAGCUAGCCCACUCCAUCAUACUAAAAAACAUGCGAGCAUUUUUCUUAUCACUCACCGGCGUUCCUCUCUCCACCGGACCCUUCCUAUCUCGCCAUUGCGGAGGCGGCAGCAGCGACGACGCCGGAGGGACGACCAAGAGGCGAUGGCUACCUCUCUCGUGUGUGGAGUAUUUCCCUUUCCCUCUCUCACGCGGCAGCGAUUUGGAGGCGACGUGGGCACUGCAAAGGUCCGGCGCAAGCUCGGCUGCGACAACGGACUUCUCCGACGCCCCUCUCCACAAUUGGCGGUCCUCCCGCCGGCAAAUGAGGAUUGAAAUUCUGCCAAGAAAUCUUAGAGCAGAAGAUGUUUGCAAGGGACUUGGAAGACGAGGGAAUGCUGCGCAGGCGAGAAAAUGGCAAUUUGGAGAAAUUCGUGGUUACCACCAGUCUCGAGUUAGAUUUAUUUCAAUUGCAACCAGGCAGAGUGUUGUGAAUUUGAAUUUGGGUGUGCAUGAUCUUACUAGCUUCUAA
rnacentral:rRNA from 1 species